UGAAGUGUCCCUUGCCUCUAUAAUUCAGUUAACCUUUAUUUAUUCUUUCAGUUAACACGUUUACUAGAAUGCAGCCUCCUGUCCUGUGCUCUUCAAUGUCUCUCCUCUAUGUCCAGAGCGGCGCUGGCAUGGAGGUGCCAGAUGGUAGGCUAGGUGCUGGAAAUACAGGUGUGAACCAGAUAGAGUUGCAGGAGAUCGUGUUUAAGAAUUACUACACAGCUUUUCUGAGCAUCCGUGUGCGCCAGCACACCUCGAUACACACACCGGCCAAGUGGGUGACCUGCCUACGGAACUACUGCCUGAUGCCCGACCCACACAGUGAGGAGGGGGCCCAGGAGUAUGUAUCGCUGUUCAAGCACCAGAUGCUAUGUGACAUGGCCAGAGUACUGGAACUGCGCCUGAUUCUGCGGCAGCCGUCACCACUGUGGCUGUCUUUCACAGUGGAGGAGCUGCAGAUCUACCAGCAGAGACCAAAGAGCCCCUCCAUGGCCUUUCCCAAGUGGCUUUCCCACCCAGUGCCCUGUGAGCAGCCCACGCCUCUCCAUGAGGUAAGUCCCACCCUGGGUAAGAACCAUUUGCGAAUGGCUCUAGUGUCCAGCACAGGCCCUGGUGGGCCCCUUUCUGCAAGAAUCUGGGGCUGGACCCAGGGCCCUCCGCUCAGUCUCUGCCAUCUUCCUGCUGGGUACUUGCUCUUAGAUCAUGGGAUUUGAAGCAUUGCUGGCAUGGAGUUGGGCUGCCUACUGCACACCAGGCCCCAAACUCAUGUCUCACAAGUCAUCUGGGAAUGUUACUGGUCUGAGCUGGCGGGCCCCAUAGCCCAGCUUGGCCUCUCUGGGGCCCUGAGGACACUGCUGGGUAAAGACACAUAGCCACUGACCCCUCCUUCUGGAGCAGGGUCUCCCAGACCCCGGCAGGGUAUCCUCCGAGGUGCAGCAGAUGUGGGCGCUGACAGAGAUGAUCCGGGCCAGUCAAACCUCUACACGGAUCGGCCGCUUUGACGUGGAUGGCUGUUAUGACUUGAACUUGCUCUCCUACACCUGACCCAUGGCUCUCACCCAAGACCUUGGACUUGCCGUGCUCACUCAGACCUGGUUUGAGCCACCAGAGGCCGAAGUGCGGUCUCUGUGCAUUCCAAGUGCUGCCUGCAUGCCUGUCCUGUCUGGGCCACCUUCACGGAUUCCAGAUUCUCGGGGGCUCACUGUGUUGCUUCAGCAUGAGCUCUAGACGGGGGUGCGCUCUGUCCUCACCUGGAUGCGGCCCAACUCUUCCUUCUUCUCCUACCCUAAAAACAUUCCGGUUCUACUUCGUAAGAAUCCCCACAUGUCCUCCACGCCUCCCACCAACGUCUACAUGCUUGUCUCCUGCCUGCUCCCUCACCCUGAGUGCAGUGGGCUGGGAUGAGCUACCCGAUCUAGUCCAGGAAGGCUGCUGCUGCCAUGGUACUCUUGCUGAUCGGAAGCUUGAGGGAGAAACAGGACCCCCUUUUCCUCCUUCUGGGCCACCUAGUGGUCUUCUUUCCCUUUGUGUUACCACCCCCCCCCCACACACAAAUUUUCCUGUCUAUACGCUUUUGCUGCCUGCCUGGGAAGCAAAGCUGGGGAUUUGGGCAGUCUGAGUCCUUCAGUUCCUUGGCUGGCACCUGGAUGUGUGUCCACAUGGAUCUGCCCGUCGGGCCUGAACAGGUGCUUCUGGCAAGGCUGGAGCCUGAGAAUAAGACCGGGACCUGCCAGCCAUUUGACAUAAUCCAAAACACAUCCCUGUCCUUCUUAAGAGGCUAAAGUCCUCCCGCAGGCUGAUUGUUGAAUAAGGCAGUCUGCUCAUCCUUCAUCAUCAGCUUGUGCAGAAAUCCUGCCUCCCUCUGGUUCUUCCUGGCUUUGCCCCCGGGGGCUACUGUGCGGCAGUACUGCUGGUGUGUUGGACCUGGAAAAUUGGAUGCAUGUGAGGCUCAACAACUUUCUGGGGGAAGUUUAGCCCCUUUUUGAUGGCACCCUCUGCUCAUCCAUCAGAGUUCCUGCAGGUGGUGUCUUUGCCUGCAGAGUCAUUAACUUAGCUCCAACUUUGAUUUUACUGACAGGGUGAUGACCAAAGUCCUGUGCUUAGGGAGCAGUCACCCUCAGUAUGUGUGUGUUUGAAGGGGGAGGACCCUGGGGUGGCAAGGACUGUGCUUCAUUCACGGCAGUGUCUCCAGCAAUCAGCACAGGGCCUGGUGUGCAGCAAGAUCAAUAAAUACUUGUGGAAUGCAUGACUCUGCUGGCUGCCUGUGU